rnacentral:lncRNA from 1 species
AUGGAGACCCCUUACCUGUACGGAGUCCUGUUCGCAAUCUCCACUGACACAGCUGCCCUGCCUCGCCUGCCAGAGAGCUCUGGAAGAGGUGACAGGCGCUGGCAGCCUGGGGUGUUGGGAGGGGGCGGGGCCAGGGCGGACCAGAGAACAGGAGGGGGAGCUCUGGGGAAGAGUGGGAACCGUGGAGCAGGCACGUUUAUCACAGCCAUUGUGUCACGUAGAGGGAGCAGUCACACAGUUAUGGUUCCCCCCUCCCCCAGGCCACAGAACACACUAUGCCAGCCAGCCACUUACACAGCCUCUCACGCUGCCUCACACAGGAUCCCAACUGCUGAGCAGGAGAGCGACAGAGACUCACAGAGUGAGACUCCGGACAAGCGGCUGUGUGCCCUGGGACGUGGACACUUCACAUAUGUGUAAACACAGCCUAUAAUCUUAAUUACCACUGCCUUUCUGUUGUCAUUGUUUGGUGUAUAUGUAUGUCAUUGUAUAUGUGUGUACGUGUACAUGUGUAUGCGUGAAGGACCAGAGAACAACCUCUGAUGUGAUUCUUUUUUUUUUUUUUAAUUAUUAUAUGUAAGUACACUGUAGCUGUCUUCAGACACUCCAGAAAAGGGAGUCAGAUCUUGUUAAGGAUGGUUGUGAGCCACCAUGUGGUUGCUGGGAUUUGAACUCCGGACCUUCGGAAUGGCAGUCGGAUGCUCUUACCCACUGAGCCAUCUCUCCAGCCCCUCUGAUGUGAUUCUUAAGUGUUGUCUACUUCCUUUGAUUUGGUCUUUCAAGACAAGAUUUCUCUGUGUAGCCCUGGCUGUCCUUGAACUCAUUACAUAAACCUGGCUGCCCUUGAAUGCAGAGAUCUGCCUGCCUCCGACUCCUUGGUACUGGGAUUACAAGCAUACACUACCCAGCUUAAUUUAUCUUGCUGCAUGCAUAACAAGGACUUUACCAAGUGAACCAUUGCUCCAAUCCCUGAUUUGUCUUUCUUUGUUUUAAUUUUAUGUGCAUGCAUGGAGGCAUGUGUACCAUAUUCGUGCAGUACCUGAGGAGGCCAAUAGAGGGCACUAGAUCCCCUAGAACUGGAGUUACCCAUGGUUGUGAGUCUCCCCAUGGGUGCUGAGAACUGAAUUCUGGAUCCUCCUGUAAUGUUUUUUUUUUUUUUUUUUUUUUGUUUUUUUUUUUUUGUUUUUUUUGGUUUUUCGAGGCAGGGUUUCUCUGUGUAGCCCUGGCUGUCCUGGAACUCACUCUGUAGACCAGGUUGGCCUCGAACUCAGAAAUCCGCUUGCCUCUGCCACCCGAGUGCUGGGAUUAAAGGUGUGUGCCACCACACCCGGCUCCUGAAGUGUUCUUAACUGCCAUUUCUCCAGUCCUGUUUCGUUUGUGGUUUUGGUGUGUGUGUGUGUGUGUGUGUGUGUGUGUGUGUGUGUGUGUGUGUGUUUUAAGAAAACAGAGUCUCAUUCUAUAACCGAGGUGAUCUCCAACCUUGGAUCUCCUGCCUCAGCUUUUCAAGUGCUGAGAUUCAGAUUUCAGUGGCACAGGCUCAUGCAAUGACCACAUCUGGCUCCACAUUUGGCAGCAGCGCUAUCAAUCACUCGAUAGCCGCAACUGGUCUGUGUCCCUCAGGAGGACUGGACAUCCGGAGCAGAGCUUCAAGCAAUGAGUGUCCAGGACAUAAAUGUGCCUGGCUGUGUGGUGAUGCGCACACACAUUCAAUCCUCUCACAACCCAAGCUGAAACACACACGCACACACACACACACAACACACACUGUGCUGAGUGGCCACAUCUGAAAACACUGUCCCUUGUGACAUACAUCACAAUCCCCCAGAGACUAUACUGUGUGUAACAGCAUAAACUCCUCAGGGAACACCAAGAUGCCCAUUCUCUCAUUGUCACACCCAGUUUUGUAUGAGCAGACAACCAUACCAUUGUUCCAUCUACACUCACAAACCACAGACAUUCUACAGGGAUUCCAGGGAUGGAAUUUAGGUCUUCAGACUUGAUGGCGGUCACCUUUAACCACUGAACUACCUUGUCGGCUAAUGUCUCCAUUUGUCCCAAGCUAGCUUUGAACUCAUCAUCCUGUUUUGAUGCUGGAAUGAAACCCUGGUUCUUGUGCAUGGUAGGCAAGCACUCUAAUGGUUCACUGUGCUCCCAGCCCCUCACUGGGGGAUUCUAGGCAGGGGCUCUACCACUGAGCCACACCCCCAGCCCCUCACUGGGGGAUUCUAGGCAGGGGCUCUACCACUGAGCCACACCCCCAGCNNNNNNNNNNAGCGGCUCACUUGGGGGAGUCUCUUGCCUCACUUCCCAGAAGAUUAACUUACAUUUGGGGGCCACCACUCUCAUCUUAAGUAUGACCCUUCCCGGCCUCACAGCCAGUCACACGGUCACGUGUCCACACAUUGUGAACCCUACUGUCACACAUUAACAUCCAGUCUUGAAAUGGUCCCAUAGUUACAGGAACCUAUAUAUCACCCACAUCUUUACAACCUCUACUUCCAGGAUCUUCCAUCACCCCAGAUAUAGGGAACAUCUGCCCGUGGAAUGUAGGAUGGGGAAAUUUGGAGCCCAGCAGUGUCUCCUGCUCAAUACACAUAGCCAGUUCAAGCUGCUUGCUUGCUCCCAUGGGACCUGUGUGAUAAGUGGGCCAGAGGCAAGCCUGCCCAUUUUGCAGAGGACAAGCUGAGGCCCAGAGGCCCCAGGAAGGGCAGGGAAUGGCCUGAGGUCCACAUCAGAAGCAGGGAGCAGAGAGAAUGGGGGGGCGGGGUGAGGGUCCUUACCGCCUGGCCCCUGGGGACCUCUCUGCUCUCUGCUCCACAUUCCUGGCGUCCUGUAGAUCCUGGGAAAGUAUCUGUCCCUGAAGUGGAGCUUGAAGAGGGUCUGAAAUUGAAGAGCACCUCGUGGACAGCUGGGGCUGGAUCCUGCCGGGCUUUAAGAGGGCAUGAAGGUCACUGGACUGGAGAGGGAGGAAGGGGAUGGGACUGCGGUGGUAAGAGGGUAGGAAAAGAACUUGAGACCCAGAAAGAUAAGAAGCAGAGAGAGGUCAGGCGAUGGUAGUGCCUUUGAUCCCAGCACUAAAGAGGCAGAGGCAGAAGCAGAUGGAUCUCUGUGAGUUUGAGGCCAGCCUGGUCUUCAGAGAGAAUUCCAGAACAGCCAGAACUACACAGAAACUCUGUUUCAAAAAACAAAAUAAGGGAGCUGGAGAGAUGGCUCAGCAGUUAAGAGCACUGGCUGCUCUUCCAGAGGUCCUGAGUUCAAUUCCCAACAACCACAUGGUGGCUCACAACCAUCUAUAAUGGGAUCCAAUGCCCUCUUUGGAGACAUUCUGAAGACAACAACCGUGUACUCAUAAAUUAAGUAAAUAAAACUUUAAAAAAAAAAAGAAAAACA